AAGACUCUAGAAAGUAACGAUCCUGUCUUAUUGCUCUGUUUUCAAGGACGAAGGUACUUGCUUUUUUUUUGGUCUAAAACAUCUCACACCGAUGAAGGUUUUUUUCUUGUAAAAAAUUUGUUGACUAGCUUUUAGUAGCUAAACGUAGCUUCGCCUAAACCUAAGCGGAGAUAUUUGACUGGGUCCGCGAUACUCAAAUUCAUAUAAAUUACACAACAAAUAAUUAAUUCAUGCAAAAUAAAAACCACACCAAUAUAUGUAGCUGAUGAUAUAAUAAAAGACUCAUUCAUUAAAUAGUAAAAUCAUCUCUCCCACAGGGUACACAUUCAACAACCACACCACCAUGAGAGUGAUCUUUACCAGCAUGCAUUUUUCUUCUUUUUUUUUGGGGCCGGGUUCUCUAUAAAUCUGAGAAUAGCACCAAAAAUAGUAAUCAUUCUCAAUGGGUUUUCUCUACGGGUUAGUCUCACUCUAAUACAACACUAAACCCAUAUUAGCCAAAACAUAUUAAAAUUAGUUUGCUAAAAACGGAGAAGCAUUUACUCAGCAGCUUCCUCUGUUUCUCUUCUCUCAUCCUAAAUCAUCUCAACUCUCCAAAAUAAAAAUAAAAACGAAAAAACCCUAAAAUAUUCAUCUGAGCAUGGAGGAAGUGAGAGAUCGGAAAACGACUUCUUCACAAGGGAUAGUGAGACCCAUGUCGUGAUCGAACCCAAACUCUUCCUCAGCUUGUUGAAGAAGAAGCUGGAACUCGGGUCGGGUCAAAAACGAAAUGGGUACAACGUACCUGACCCGAUUCUCUCCGACAUAGACGACGAAAUGACCUUUAGGGACGUCGAGAGGAUGUCCGUUCUCGUCUUCGCUGUAUACAUUACUCUGUUUCUUUCCCAAGCUCGAGCAUCUCCUCAAGAUUUGUUUGAUCAUGGCCGUCUGUGUUAGCUUGCUUGCUUUUUUCAAAGCCAUUCUCUUCAAAUCCUUCGAAUAUGAAAUGGGCUUUCUUCCUUUUUUGAUCUUGGAAAAAUAACUCUACUUUCUUUGUGUGUGUGAUUUAAGUUUUAAGAUCUUUCGUUUUGUUAUUUCACAAUGUGAAGGAUGAGUGAGAAUAGAGUGAGGGAGGGCUCACGGAAUUGUGGUUGGGGGUAUUUAUUAAGGACCAAAGCGAGUGGAAUUUUUUUUAAUUCAAAUAAAAAAAAUGAAUAUAAGGAAUUUAAAAUGAAAUAUACACAAAUAUGUGUGUAUAUAUAUAUAUAUAUAGAUACAGAGAGAGAGAGAGAGAGGGAGAUGGUGACAUCGAGGCGUUGAGGAGAUUAUGAUGUGUUUGUUGUCUGAAUACGAAUUUGCGUGUUUGCUACGGGUAACCAUUUGUUGUGCAUUAAGAUGAUACAAAUAUUUAAUUUGUUGCAGAAUUGAUAGAAUGUAGAAACUCCAAAGUGACCGCUUGGGUCAUCUGGUUUGGCUCCAAAAUAUUUUCUUCAAAAAUAUUGAGGUGUAAUUUAGAUUAGAAUCCAUUUUUAACUUGUUCAAAAAAUGUGAAAGGUAUUUUCAAAGCAUGUGAAGAUGUGGGGUCCAAAUUGAGACGAGUAUCUGUGGAAUUUGUUAAACGGACGGUCCAAUAUUGAUCUUCCUUUCACCUUUUGUGGUUAGGAAAUAUUUGGAAAACAAAAUUUGAAUAUCUAACUACUGAUUUCUUUUUUUUUUCUUUUUUUACUGAUUUCUUUUUGGUUAUGCAUGCUCGCUGGUAAGUUAAUUAAUUAUGGUUCCAUUCUCAUCCUUCGAGGUUGAUUAGGGUUUUAUUCGAAUUUGUUGUAUGAUGCUCUAAAUCCGUACUUUAUAUUUUUUUGUCUCCGCUUUAUGGGUUAUCUUGACACAUUCUCCCAUUUAUUUGUCCCAAUUUCUUUACAUCGAGCGUAUGGCUUUUAUGAUUUUAUCCAACUUGGUAUUGAAUUAUUCAAUAUCACAUAUUUUUAUCAAGCAAAGUUCACAUGUAUGAAACACUCAACGUGUUACUUCAUGCACGUUGUCAAACAGAAGGAUGCAAAAUCAUUCAUUUUUUUUCAAAUAUAAGUAUUUGGUUAUGAGGAGUACAAAUUAGAGAUUGGAGCUACGUGCAUGUGGGGGAAAUACAACUUUUUGUUUGCAAGGGAAGAUAUGCAACAUUUGUCUUGUAAAUCUUUUCCAAUUAUUAUCAAAUUAAAUGUAAGUACAAAGUUUUUUUUUUCUUUUUUUGCAGCCAAGAUAUAUAUUGAUCAUAGCCCCAAUCUCAAAGGAAGAUGAAACAUAUUACACGACAAGAGGGUGAACAUUGCUAAGGAUUCAGCUUCACACAUCACUACAAACUUAAAGUACACAAGGGAGCAAUCUACAAAGAAAACACACAGUUGUUUAAGAAACUGUUAGAUAGUAGCCUAAUGAAACAAAAGCUUGAAGUAUCUUCGAAGGCUUCAUAAACGAUCCAGUGAUAGAUUGUUUGGGGUCAAGUACCUCCUCCAUUGUCAAUUUUUGAUAUGUUGAGAACUGAGGAUAGUGCAAAUUAAAGACGAGGGAACACAAAUUAAAGCCUAUAACGUUUCAAGAUAAAU
rnacentral:lncRNA from 1 species